GACAGAGGAUGCAAGCGUUAUCCGGAAUGAUUGGGCGUAAAGCGUCUGUAGGUGGCUUUUCAAGUCCGCCGUCAAAUCCCAGGGCUUAACCCUGGACAGGCGGUGGAAACUACCAAGCUGGAGUACGGUAGGGGCAGGGGGAAUUUCCGGUGGAGCGGUGAAAUGCGUAGAGAUCGGAAAGAACACCAACGGCGAAAGCACCCUGCUGGGCCGACACUGACACUGAGAGACGAAAGCUAGGGGAGCGAAUGGG
rnacentral:rRNA from 1 species